rnacentral:rRNA from 1 species
UACGAAGGGGGCUAGCGUUGCUCGGAAUCACUGGGCGUAAAGGGUGCGUAGGCGGGUCUUUAAGUCAGGGGUGAAAUCCUGGAGCUCAACUCCAGAACUGCCUUUGAUACUGAAGAUCUUGAGUUCGGGAGAGGUGAGUGGAACUGCGAGUGUAGAGGUGAAAUUCGUAGAUAUCGCAAGAACACCAGUGGCGAAGGCGGCUCACUGGCCCGAAACUGACGCUGAGGCACGAAAGCGUGGGGAGCAAACAGG